AUAACUUGAUCAAUUUCCUGACAAGGUGGCACUACAACUGAAUGAUACUCACCCCUCCCUCGCAAUUCCUGAGCUUAUGAGGGUUCUUAUUGAUGAAGAAGUUCUCAAAUGGCAAGAGGCGUGAGACAUCGCAUGCAAAGUCUUUUCCUUCACUGCCCACACAGUAGCUCCAGAAGGAUUAGAAAAAAAUCCUAGUUGAGCUGCUGAGUAACCUUCUUCCACGACAUUUGCAAGAAAUUAUUCAAGUGGGAGUAGAAGAUAACCUACAUGAUGGUCAAGAUUAGCUUACAUUAAUUUAUAGUUGUAGACAAUUUUGCAAGUGAUUUUAACACUAUGAAAUUGCAAGUGAUGUAAACACUAUGAAAGUAUGGUAUAAAUUUGUGUAGUUUGGCUGUGAAAGCUCUUCGGACAUAAUAUUUGUGUAUACUAUUUUGAGACCUAAUAGAAAUUUGUUGAUGUUUAAUUUU